rnacentral:rRNA from 1 species
UACGUAGGGUGCGAGCGUUGUCCGGAAUUAUUGGGCGUAAAGAGCUCGUAGGCGGUCUGUCGCGUCGAUCGUGAAAACUUGGGGCUUAACCCUGAGCUUGCGGUCGAUACGGGCAUGACUGGAGUUCGGCAGGGGAGACUGGAAUCCCUGGUGUAGCGGUGAAAUGCGCAGAUAUCAGGAGGAACACCGGUGGCGAAGGCGGGUCUCUGGGCCUGAACUGACGCUGAGGAGCGAAAGCCAGGGGAGCAAACGGG